CGAACGCUGCGGCGUGCUUAACACAUGCAAGUCGAACGAAGGACCCUGCUUGCAGGGUACGUCGAGUGGUGAACCGGGUGAGUAACGACUGGGUGAGUCUGCCCUGCGACUUCGGGAGUAAGGACUUGGGAAACUGGGUCUAAUACCGGAUAGGAGCCAUCUUUAGUGUGGUGGUUGGAAAGUUUUUUCGGUUGUAGGAUGAGCUCGCGGCCUAUCAGCUUGUUGUGGGGUAAUGGCCGUACCAAGGCGGCGACGGGUAGCCGGCCUGAGAGGGUGUACGGCCACAUUGGGACUGAGAUACGGCCCAGACUCCUACGGGAGGCAGCAGUGGGGAAUAUUGCACAAUGGGCGCUUAAGCCUGAUGCAGCGACGCCGCGUGGGGGAUGAAGGCCUUCGGGUUGUAAACUCCUUUCGCUAGGGACGAAGCUUUGUGUGACGGUACCUAGAUAAGAAGCACCGGCUAACUACGUG
rnacentral:rRNA from 1 species